UUGAGGAAGUAAAAGUCGUAACAAGGUCUCCGUUGGUGAACCAGCGGAGGGAUCAUUGCUGGAACGCGCCCCAGGCGCACCCAGAAACCCUUUGUGAACUUAUACCUUACUGUUGCCUCGGCGCUAGCUGGUCCUCCGGGGCCCCUCACCCUCGGGUGUUGAGACAGCCCGCCGGCGGCCAACCUAACUCUUGUUUUUACACUGAAACUCUGAGAAUAAAACAUAAAUGAAUCAAAACUUUCAACAACGGAUCUCUUGGUUCUGGCAUCGAUGAAGAACGCAGCGAAAUGCGAUAAGUAAUGUGAAUUGCAGAAUUCAGUGAAUCAUCGAAUCUUUGAACGCACAUUGCGCCCUCUGGUAUUCCGGAGGGCAUGCCUGUUCGAGCGUCAUUUCAACCCUCAAGCCUGGCUUGGUGAUGGGGCACUGCUUCUUACCCGAGAAGCAGGCCCUGAAAUUCAGUGGCGAGCUCGCCAGGACCCCGAGCGCAGUAGUUAAACCCUCGCUCUGGAAGGCCCUGGCGGUGCCCUGCCGUUAAACCCCCAACUUCUGAAAAUUUGACCUCGGAGCAGGUACGG
rnacentral:rRNA from 1 species